AUGCAAUAAACGCAUUUGUGUUACUUAUGUAUUUACCUUCUUUGUAAUGUCACCUGAUGAAUAAUUUGCACCAAUGAAGUCAGAUAUUAAACUAAUUUGUGAAGAUCGCCCAUGUGGAUCAAUCUGAUUAAAUAGAAAAAUAUAAAGGCACCUGACAGAAAUCGACAGCUAAUAUCAGUGAUAUUAAAAAAUAAUUGGAUUUUGGUGAUUGUUUCUUAUAUAAUUUGAAAAAAAUAGUCACUGAGCAAAGUGACAGCAAUGCCAGGAUGGUUUCAAAAGGACUCCCUCCAAGAAGUAAUAAAUACUGGGGAUUGAGCUAAGAAAUGGACUACUGAAAAAAUGGACUCAAACAAAUAUAAUAAGUGUUCCUGUGUUUAUUUCACAAAAUAUAUGAACUAUGAAAAAUGUGUUUCUAUUUUGUUAAUUACAAACAAAUUUUAAUAUUGAAGGA